rnacentral:rRNA from 1 species
GGGGGGUGCAAGCGUUAAUCGGAGUUAUUGGGCGUAAAGGGUUCGUAGGUUGUUUAUUAAGUUAUGUGGGAAAUACCUGGGCUUAACCUAGGAAUGUCGGAUAAUACUGAUGAACUUGAGUAUAGUAGAGGGUAGUGGAAUUUCCGGUGUAGCGGUGAAAUGCGUAGAGAUCGGAAGGAACACCAGUGGCGAAGGCGGCUACCUGGACUAAUACUGACACUGAGGAACGAAAGCGUGGGUAGCAAACAGGAUUAGAUACCCUGGUAGUCCACGCCGUAAACGAUGUCAACUAGCUGUUGGGUAAAUGAAUUUACUUAGUGGCGCAGCUAACGCGAUAAGUUGACCGCCUGGGGAGUACGGUCGCAAGAUUA